rnacentral:rRNA from 1 species
AUUGAACGCUGGCGGCAGGCUUAACACAUGCAAGUCGAGCGAGCGGCGGACGGGUGAGUUAUGUCUGGGAAACUGCCUGAUGGAGGGGGAUAACUACUGGAAACGGUGGCUAAUACCGCAUACUAUCGGAUGAACCCAUAUGGGAUUAGCGAGUAGGUGGGGUAAAGGCUCCCCGAGGCGACGAUCUCUCGCUGGUCUGAGAGGAUGUUCAGCAACACGGGGACUGAGACACGGCCCAGACUCCUACGGGAGUCAGCAGGGGGGAAGUUGGCACAAUGGGCGAAAGCCUGAUGCAGCCAUGCAGCGUGUAUGAAGAAGGCCUGAGGGUUGUAAAGUACUAUCAGCGUGGAGGCGUUACCCGCAGAAGAAGCACCGGCUAACUCCGUGCCAGCAGCCGCGGUAAUAC